GACGUAGGGCGCGAGCGUUGUCCGGAUUUAUUGGGCGUAAAGAGCUUGUAGGCGGUUUGUCGCGUCUGCUGUGAAAUUUCGGGGCUCAACCCCGAACUUGCAGUGGGUACGGGCAGACUAGAGUGUGGUAGGGGAGACUGGAAUUCCUGGUGUAGCGGUGAAAUGCGCAGAUAUCAGGAGGAACACCGAUGGCGAAGGCAGCUCGCUGGGACGGUACUGACGCUGAGGCGCGAAAGCGUGGGGAGCGAACAGG
rnacentral:rRNA from 1 species